AGGACGAACGCUGGCGGCGCGCUUAACACAUGCAAGUCGAGCGAGAACCGGGACUUCGGUCCCGGGGACAGCGGCGAACGGGUGAGUAACACGUGGGUAAUCAACCAUCGGCACCGGGAUAGCCCGAGGAAACUCGGAUUAAUACCGGAUAGCCCCUCCGACUCUCGAGUCGGUCGGGAAAGGUAGCUUAGGCCUCUGGCCGGGGACGAGCCCGCGGCGGAUUAGCUUGUUGGUGGGGUAAUGGCCUACCAAGGCAACGAUCCGUAGCUGGUCUGAGAGGACGAUCAGCCACACUGGGACUGAGACACGGCCCAGACUCCUACGGGAGGCAGCAGUGGGGAAUCUUGCGCAAUGGGCGAAAGCCUGACGCAGCGACGCCGCGUGAGGGAAGAAGGCCUUCGGGUUGUAAACCUCUUUCAGGAGGGACGAAGCUACUCGGGUGAAUAGCCCAGAGGGUGACGGUACCUCCAGAAGGAGCCCGGCUAACUACGUGCCAGCAGCCGC
rnacentral:rRNA from 1 species